rfam:Stegodyphus mimosarum contig21532, whole genome shotgun sequence.
AAAAAGGCCCUUUUCAGGGCCAUACAAAUUUAAUAAAAAGAUAUG